GCAGGAAUUUGCCAGGUCAGUGAUUGUAUGCAGGGCAUAUCAAGGAGGGGUUCAUUUAAUUUUAGCUUUGUUUUGUGAGUUGAAUUGUAAGUUGUGGCAACGGAUCUAAGUUGGGGAUACAGGAGACUCUGGAAAGAUAAUUCCUGAAGCCAAAAUCUGAAGCUGAGGUGGGGAAGAUGCUGCUAUGGGCUGGCUUGGCCAUUCUUGUGCAGUUGCAACUGGGUAAGAAUGUCUUGU